AGUAAUGUCUGGGAAACUGCCUGAUGGAGGGGGAUAACUACUGGAAACGGUAGCUAAUACCGCAUAACGUCGCAAGACCAAAGUGGGGGACCGUUCGGGCCUCAUGCCAUCAGAUGUGCCCAGAUGGGAUUAGCUAGUAGGUGGGGUAACGGCUCACCUAGGCGACGAUCCCUAGCUGGUCUGAGAGGAUGACCAGCCACAUUGGAACUGAGACACGGUCCAG
rnacentral:rRNA from 1 species